CCAGAACGUGGGAAGGUUCUGCCAAGGCAGUGCUGGGUGCUGAGUCACAGCUACUUACGUGACUGAUGUGUGUUCCAGCCAGAUGGGGGGAGCCGGAAGCCAAGCCCAGAUGGCCAUCUUCUUUCCUCUGGGAAUGCUGAUUUCAGGGCUCCUGGCAGCAAGGAAGAGCUCAUCUUGGGUGGCCUUCAAAGGAGGACUCAGAACCCAGGGACCACUGCAUUUCCCAGGCCCUGAGCCCCAGUGUGGGAAUCACAUCCUCCAAACCCACAGUGCCCCUCAAAUUCCUAUUCAGAGGUGAUGCACAGUUCUCCCAGAAGUCUAGCCCAAAUCACUCUCCUUGCUGCAAGUUCUGCCCACUCUCUUUUCCAUCCUUCAAGUGGACAGAAUGAACUGGAUCCAACAUGACAAAUCUUCACACAUGAAGCUACAGAAGGCUUUAUCCACUAAAACAAUUCCGCUGUGGAUUCCCCAUCACAGGGUUUCAGUAUGAGCCAAGGAUGCAUUCAGGAAAUACCAAAGGACAGACAUUUAGAGACACAUAUGCAUGCUGCCCCUGUCCAACCUCAACUGUCCUAAAGGAAUACCCCCAGAAAAAGCCUAAACCAUCAUGGCUAAAUCCGCUGUAAAUAAAGAUAAACCAUUAUUUCCUCCUUCAUACAAGUUCUGGGUCUAUUUAAACAAAGGUCACUCAAGAGGGCUAACUGGCCAAGAAGUCCUGCUGUCCAAUACUCUGCCUUACCAGCCCUUAUAAAGAGUGGGGGAUUAUGCUCUGCCUUUAAGGAAAACUGACACCCACGAGUUCUCUUACCCACCUUUCUCUCUGUGGGUAAGCCCUACUUUUUCAAGUCAAUCAUGAAGCAGACACUCAGAACUAAAGCCAGUGUUUCUAGUCCCUUACUUUACAUUGUACAUUAGCCAAGGCUUCCAGCAGGCGCUGUACAUUAGCCAGCAAACAGGUAGCAUACACACAACAUGCAUGCUGGGCAAGGCUCAGGGCAUCUCUUACAAAUGUGUUGGAAAAAUUUCAAAAACCCUACACUGGGCCUCAUCUCUAAGUGAGCUGCACUCAGCAGAAGCAUGCCUGUGUGCAUAGGCAUGAGGUGCCAUACAGAUGUGUCACAGUGGUUUGAUGCAUCACAUAUUCCAGAAGCUUCCAAAUACAGGAAACCUCUCCAAGAACACAUGGUGAGUGGCUGGCUUCCCAGCCAAAAAGUGCAAGCCAGUUCUCACAAGAGCUCCAAGAAGUCUGAAGAAUCAGAGAGUUGGAGAACCUGGACAUGCUGAGGUUCCGUUUCCCAUUCAACACAUAGAAAAGGCAUCUCUAGGCCCUCUAAGGCCUUCAGAAAUUAAGGAAACUGCCAAAGACUCCACUCCCCUACUCCUGUCCCUGCCCCACUAGUCAGAACCCAGAGAAAUAACAGCUGAAGUCAGAGGACCUAGAUGGGAGACCCACGAGAAGCGGCUACAAGCAGUCAGAUCUUGGCAGGAUUGACUCUCAGGUUCAGUUUUACCAACGACAAGGAUAAGACCACCUACCCUCUCAGGGUUGUGUGAGGACCAAAUGAGCCAGCAAGUAUGAAAAGAACUAUGUGAGCUGAUACGAUGGUUAUUACUCCAUUCCUCUCCUGCCUGAGUCCUAGCCCAGAUCGCUGUUUGCUAUUCCAUACUGGCAGUGGGGUGGCACUCAGCUAUUAUUAAUCCCAGGUAAACAUCCCACAAAGCGGCAAGCAGAUAGUGUCUUGGAGAAAGGUAGCUAUUUUAAAACUCUACAUUCUGCUUAGCAGAUUGCACAAUGUGCCCCCUCAGCCCCAGGGGCUCCUACCCACACAGCCUUGCAGAAGUGGUGUACGUCUGGGACUAACGCUGCCAUGGAGAAGCUAGGCCAGAGUCCCAGCCACUCCUAGCCCCCAUCUGGCUGGGCCUGGGACCUUCGGCUUUCCUGCAUGUGUUUUAUUUUGCUAUCUUUUUAAGAGUGACUCAAGACUAAAAAGCCAAAAUGGAACCAGUGGCUCUGAGAUAUUUUUGUUUAUUUUUUAUUUUUUUCAUUGUUAUUUUUUAAAAUUAAAUUUAAUUUUUUAGUCGAGGGCCUCAAAAAAUACAUGAAAAGAGAAGGCUAAAUAUAAAGGAAAACUUCCUGACAGCAAGGGGCACAGACCCUCCCUCAAACCACAGCUGCAUUCUCUCUCCAGGGUUUAGGGCCAGACAGGACGGAGCAUCUUUCCUAGAGCAGGGUCCCUUGGGUCAGCCCCUUGCAGGACAGCAGGCACCCCCAGCAGCUCCCACAUAAACCCAUCUCCAACAAGCCUCCCGGGGGAAGCGCGUAGCCAUGUCCCCUACCACCCGGUGGAUCCUCAUCAACACCUUCACGAAACCUCCAGCCCUCUGCUUCCACUUCUGGGAGGUCUUUAAAAACUACCUCCUCCCACCCACCCACCCUAAUUCCAACAGUACCACUUCAGCCGCUCUGAGACAGGUCAUCAAGAUCCCUCCCCUUCUCUUGUGGAAACCUGGGCCUAGUUUUCCUCAUCUUGAAUUACUGGCUAAGGAACAUCUCCAUGAACAUUCAGGGAGGCCCCAGGAUACAGCUGGAACCUCCAAAGAGAUUCUGGUUCCAUCCCCUCAUUUCAUAGAUAAUGAAACUGGAGCUGAAAGGAGGAAAGUGAGUGAGUUUUUACCAACAAGAGCUAGGACCAGAAUCAGGGUCGGCUGACUCAACACAGAGCAACACAAACCCCACUUUCCUGACCCUCCUCCUCCCUGAGCACCCCCAACUACACUACCUCAUCCCUGUGCAACUUCAGACCCCUGGCAGCAGAUGGCAGUGUGUGCAGUCCGGCGGGUCAGCUGUCCAUGAUCAGCCAAAGAGCCAACAAUCACAUGGCCUGACUCCGCAGGUCCGCUGCCUCUUCCACCAAGUAAACAAGUCCCGAGCCCUGGAGCUACAUGCGCUGAACACAUGACACAUGCCUGCCCUGUCCCCAGCACCACCAACCUGCCUCCGCCUCUCAAGACACAGCUCAACCAAGCAUCUGGCACAGGUCACUUCUCUAUGCCUGGUGCCCAUCCCUUCCCUAUCGUGAGACGAUUAGCUCUGGGAACGGCUCGUUCUGGCAGGACAGGCUGAGUUCAGAACCAGCCUCCUGCAGGAACAUUUGACCAAUGGCUCGGCAAAGACCUAACCUGCACGUUUCCCUGUGCUGCAUGGACAAGUGUGGGGCACAGUGACCAGGCUGAGGAAAGAAGUCAGCUGGUGCCUGGGAGGGUGUGAGGCAGAAGGCCAACAGCAACCAUGGCAGACAGGAGAGAACCAGUCUGCCGGAGACCAAAGGCUUGACAUCUACUCCACCUUGAUCCCUGACUCACGACAAGUUCCUGUAAGCCAUGGGGACCUUGGAUGGAUUUCCCAAGUUAUUAGGAAAAAAGAGGGGGUUAGUUUGUGUCAGUCCUAACUCCCUGAAGGAAAGCUCAAUUGAUGUGGCUUCAGAUGGCUGAGGUCCUAAGUCUCUAGAACCCUCUGACCAUCAUCUGAAUUCUCCUCCUUAUGUGUGUGGGGGGUCCCCCUUUUCAUCCCCACACAAUCUCCAUAUAUGUCUACCCUGUACAUUUUUAAAUUCUUUUUAAAAAUCAUUAUUAGCGGUGUCUCUCCACACUAGAAUGUAUGCCCCAUGAAAGUGGAAAGUUGGCUUUGUCAAGUUCUGUAUCUCUAGCGCCUGGCACAGUCCCUGGCACAUAGCAGAGGCUCCGUACACAGCAGCAGACGCCAUGUACUGGCCUUACUCAGCUCUGCCUGUCCAUGGCUACCAAAGGGCAUUUGGGUCUGCCCUGCCUCCCCCUAAAGGAAUGCGGCACAACCGUCCCCAGUGACUGGAAAGUUCCUUCGGGUGUCUGCCUUUUCACUCUGGUUCACAUCAGUCCUCUGAGAAUCUUAGUUCACAAAAAUGUCUGACUUCAGCCCAAAAGAGUAAAGAUAACGUAGAGGCUUUGGAAUAAGAAGUGCAUGCAUUUAAAUCUCAACAACCUCACUUACCAAAUGCAUAACCUUGGGUUAAGUCACUUAAUCUGUUUCUUUAACUAUAAAAGGGAAGUGAUCCCUAUGUCAUAUGGUUGUUCUGAGGAUGAAAUCAGAUAAGGAGAGGAGAGCCCUUUAAAAAGGUCAGUUUCCCUUGGACCAACAACUCUGAUGCCCAUCUCAUACCUUCAUGCCUCAUUAUAGACCCUGAUCGGGGCACCAUCCUACCUUCAGUACCAGGCACUCAGACGCAAAUCCUUCACAGGAGAUGCACACAUCCAUCCUGGGCCAUGACAGGCAGCCCUGGCUGAGCACUGGACUUGUCCUCCCACACCCUCCUGGACUUGCUCCUGUGAUCUAACCACACAUACCACCUCCCCACGUG
rnacentral:lncRNA from 1 species